AACCUCCAAUAAACAAC
rnacentral:misc_RNA from 1 species